AUGGUUUAUUACUGUGUUUGUGGCGGGUGCAAGAACUCCAGCAAAACUGGACAUAGGGUCCAUUGUUUCCCCAAGGACAAAGGGAUCUUCCGAAACUGGGUGCAAUUUGUCAAGAUUAGGCGGGCAGAUUUUUCAGCUAGCUCUGUCACCGCCUACUCGAGAAUAUGCAGCGCGCAUUUCAAGGAGGAGGAUUACCACUCAGGGGAUGCCAAGAUGGUCGCACUUUCUUUAAAAAGUAUGAGGAUGGCUAAGUUAAUUCCUACCGCCGUGCCGUCUGUGAAUGCAAACCUCUCUGCUUGUCCUGUCCCGAGGUCGAGAGACACCGUCUGCUGCAAGCGAUAUAUUGCCACGAUGAUGACAGAUACCUCACAGCAGGAGACCGUGGACAGUGUAGACACUGUGGAGAGUGUCGAUACUGGCGAUCAGCCCUUGCCCUCCUCCACUUCUGACGCUGUGACACAGUGUUAUUUGAAGCCCCCCCGAUGGUCUCGCGCUGUGCAGGUUAACCUGAAGCCCAAGAUGGUCAGCGUGGGUACACAGACGUCUUUCAGCCCACAAACCUCCACUCCCCUCGCUAGUCCUGAACGGACAGAUGAUGAAGAUGAUGAUAAUGCCUCUGUCGUUAGUGACUUAUCGUGGGUGCCCGAAGAGCCGAUGCAUGAGGAGGACUUGUUUGAUGAGGAGCCACCUUACGCUUGUGACCCCCACCACAAGUGAGAUAAUUUAAAACCGACAUAGACCAUUUUGAAUGCUCAUUUUAUUUCCAUCUUUGUAAGUGGCAAUAAUUGUCGCUGUACCCCAUUCAAGGGGUCCUGCAUGCCGCAUGUCUGCUCCUCUGCCUGUUAUUUGCAUGUUAUUUGCAUGAAAUUUGUUGUAUGUAAUUCAAAAUAAUUUACCAAUCAUUUUACCUGUGCCUUGUCAACCUCUGUGUGCAGUGUUGUCUGGGCUCACUGUGUGUCUGCUUGAUGUGCUUUUGCGUGUGUGUGUGUGAGAGAAACAAAAGAAACUGUGCAAAUGUUUCAGGUCAGUAAUCUUCGUCCUUGUUCAGUAAAUGUUCAGUAACCGUUAAAAGCAAUGCCAAUAAACUGUGUUUUCUUAUCAAAAUUCAUGUGUUCUGUGUGCUUUAUAACAUUUUAAGGGCAAUUGGGGGAUCACAACAGAAUAAGCAAUUAUUUUUAUUAAUUUUCAUCCAAACGAGGCCAUUGAAAGCCCUGAUAGGUCUGGUCACCACUUUGAAAUUUUUGUCUGAUGGUUGAAACCACACAAGAGGGUAGAGGCUUCCUUAUACUCCUGCCUAAAACUCCAUAAGCCCAGCGUAUAGCCUGCCUGUACGCAGUGUACCGGUAUUGCCUAGGGAUAAGUAGGAAAGAUUCUUAAGUUUAAAACUGUAAGUAGGUUGGAAACGUCAUUUUAAGCCUGUCUCUUAUGCAUGUUUAUUGUGUAUGCAACACAUCUCCUGUCACCUAUAGCUGUUGUUCAAAAGACUCAGUGUAAAAAGAUUGGUAAAGUAAACAAACCAUGAACAUACUCGUGUGUGCUGGCUUGAAGGGGACCAUGAUCCUGCCUGAAGUGUGAGUAUGCUAUGUGUAGCACAAACGGAUUCAGGCAGCAUGCCUCAAAUCCAGGAUGCUGCGUUAGGCACGUUACAUCUGCUGGCCGCGGGGUGAGGUCCUCGACCAGCGACCAAAACGCUCUCACCUCCCUACAACACAAGCUCUCCACCAGUUUCCAUGGGACGACACCGCCCACACAGACACCUGCCAAACACAGCGACACAGACGCAUACUACUCACUCCCUCUACCGGUAAGCCUGACGGUGUCAAUGACAAUUAAUCACGAGGAAAACUAGUUGGCACUAUCAACAAUAAUCACACUGAAGACAUGACCAGCCGUCGGCGUCGGCUACGUUUGCAAACAACAUUUUCACCGGAGGAGGUGGUAAAAGCUUAGAAAUUAACAGUAGGGGUUCACAGGUGGGACUGUCAAGCUAGCCCAUAGCUAAUCACUGUCACUAGAUAUAAAGAAAACGUUGACUUUUAUUCGGUGCUAUUCACUGACAGUAAAAAAAAAAGUUGUUAUUGUAUGCACUGCUGUUCACAGACUACUAGCUCCAGCGGUCAUUGCUGCGUUUCUAAAUGGUAGCAACUCACCAGGACACUUCACCAACUCUCCAGUCAUUCUCCUCUGACCAUGCAUUUAUUUGUCUUUGAUUGCCAUCGGCUCUCGGUAUUUCCUCAUUCGCCCUGUCACGUCUAAACGGUUCGAAAUUAUAUGGCUGUGGGCCAUCAUAAAUGUUAACUGUGGGUCUUUCCACCUCUUCCUCAUCCCAGUUAGACGCCAUAGUCACUGAGUGGUAGAACUAGUUCUAGUAGCUGCUGAGCUGCAAGGCUGGGGCUACCUUCCAGCACGUCUACCUCAUGUGACGUCAUCGCCGAAUUGCGUAAAAAAUAACCGUUACUAACCAAAAACUACAAAAACUGGACUUUAACACCAUUUUGGAGACAUUUCUAACUUUAUAUACAUAUCUUGACUGCUUUACGUACCCAUUAAUCGAAAGUAGUGUUUAACCUGCACCAUAGCCUUUAAAGUAUUUUAAUGGAACACAGGAUGUCUUUUCUGUUGUGGAGAGAAUUGCCAGAAAAGAAUCAGAAUCAGAAUCAGAGCUUUAUUGCCAGGUAUGUUUACACAUACAAGGAAUUUGUUUUCGUGAUAGAAGCUCUGCAGUACAACAGAAUGACAGCGACAGAACAUAAAACACAUAAUAAAAGAAUAAAAAAUACAAAUAAGUAGAUAGUGAAUGACAAUAUACAAAUUGACAAUUGUAGGCUGUCUGGUCGUUCUGGUGCUCAGUGCUCUGUAGCGUCGACCAGAUGGCAACAGUUCAAAGAGGGAGUGUUCUGGAUGUGAGGGGUCCAGAGUGAUUUUGACAGCCCCUUUUCUCACUCUGGAUAAGUACAGUUCUUGAAUAGAAGGGAGGGUUGUACCAAUGAUUCGUUCAGCAGUCCGGACUAACCUCUGUAGUCUUCUGAGGUCAGAUUUAGAAGCUGAGCUGAACCAGACAGUUACUGAAGUGCAGAGGAUGGAUUCAAUGAUGGUGGAGUAGAACUGUUUCAGCAGCUCCUGUGGCAGGUUAAACUUCCUCAGCUGGCGAAGGAAGUACAACCUCUGCUGGGCCUUUUUUACGAUGGAGUCAAUGUGAAUGUCCCAUUUCAGGUCCUGAGAGAUAGUGGUGCCCAGGAACCUGAAUGACUCCACUGCAGUCACAGUGCUGUUCAUGAUGGUGAGUGGGGGGAGUGCAGGGGGGUUUCUCCUGAAGUCCACGAUCAUCUCCACUGUUUUGAGGGUGUUAAGCUCCAGGUUGUUGAGAGUGCACCAGACAGCCAGCUCUUUUACCUCCUGUCUGUAAGCAGAUUCGUCACCGUCCUGAAUGAGGCCGAUGAGUGUGGUGUCAUCUGCAAACUUCAGGAGCUUGACAGAGGGGUCUUUAGAUGUGCAAUCAUUAGUGUACAGGGAGAAGAGCAGUGGGGAGAGGACACAGCCCUGGGGAGCUCCGGUGCUGAUUGUACAGGUGCUGGAUGUAUAUUUUCCCAAACUCACUAGCUGCUACCUGUCUGUCAGGAAGCUGUUGAUCCACUGACAGAUGGAGGUGGGCACAGAGAAUGGAUUUAGUUUGGGCAGGAGGAGGAUUGGGAUGAUCGUGUUAAAGGCCAAGUCCACAAACAGGAUCCUCACAUAAGUACCCGGUCUGUCUAGUUGUUGCAGAACAUAAUGCAGUCCAAUGUUUACUGCAUCGUCCACAGACCUGUUUGCUCUGUAGGCAAACUGAAGAGGAUCCAGCAAGGGUCCAGUGAUGUCCGUCAGGUGGGCCAGCAUCAGUUUUUCAAAUUAUUUCAUGACUACAGAUGUUAAAGCCACAGGCCUGUAGUCAUUUAGUCCUGUAAUCUUGGAUUUCUUUGGAAUGGGGAUGAUGGUGGAGCGUUUGAAGCAUGAAGGGACUUAGCACAGCUCCAGCGAUCUGAUGAAGAUACGUGUGAAGAUGGGGGCCAGCUGGUCAGCACAGGAUUUCAGACAGGCUGGUGUAACACAAUCUGGGCCUGGUGCUUUUUUCCUUUUCUGCUUCCGGAAGACCUGGCGCACCGCAUCCUCGCUUAUCUGUAUUGCAGGUGUGGGGGAUAGGAGGUGUGAAUGGUGAGAGUGCUUGAUUGGAGAUGUGUUCAGGGCAGGUGAUGGGUGUUCUUUCAUACCUGCAGUAAAACUCAUUCUGCCAGUCGUUGAUUCUCCACAGUGCUGGGGGUGGUGUCUUGUCUUCCACAGUCUGAAAGAGAAAAUGCCAAACAUAUGAGUGCAAAGGUUCAGUCAUUUGUUAAAGAACUUUAUUUUAAUAAGCAAAGAACAGAUAAAUGUGAAAUAUUAAAUGACAUUGUCAAGGUUUUUGGCUGUCCCCCAAUGCAGGAUUGCAUCACAACUGCAUAUAGGCUUGCAAUAAGUUAUGUGGAAAUGUAAGUAACUGGUUCUGGUCUUACAAACAUUUCUUGGUUAAUGGAGUUCUAAAUCACACUCAAAAAUAUGACCGACUUAAGAAGAGAUGCAACGGUGCUAUAUACUUGAAGGAUGGUACAUUCUCUUUAAUUAGUGACUUUAAUUAAUUAGUCAUUUUUAAACAAGUAUCUGUGCAUCAAAGUCCUGCAUAUUGUGAAUGUACCAAACACGUCUGAGCUUUAGUUGAGGUUCUUUUUAAGUCUAACAACCCUUUAUGUAAAGAUUCACAAAUAAAUGUACAGAGUAAAAAGACUGGAACCAUUAGUGCCAUCAGGCCUGGUAUGAUAAGAAUGAAAUGUGUUGUUGUUGAAACAGCCGACAAUUUGUACAUUACACCUUUGCCAAAUCCACAUGAACGGGACUAAAAAAAGCAGUCAUUAGUCAUAUUAACCAGUGUUGUGAUAUGUAUUUAUGUUAGACUUGCUCUUGAUGUUUUGUUAUGAGAUAUCUGUUAAUGAAAUUUUAUAUGCUGGUAUAUCUUAUUAUAGAAACCAGUAUGAAUCAAGUCUGAUACUGUUACAUCUUGAAAGAUCGGCCAAUAAAAUCACUAAAAAUGUAUCUGCUUCUGUGUGGGUUUUUAUUGCUUUGUAAAAAGCAGAUCAGCUUCAGUUCCAUGUCUUUCAAUUACUUUAAAAUCUAUUCCACCCCAAGGCUUGUUACUACAGUAUAUGCACUUAAACAGGUAAGUUUAUAAGAUGGAAUGUAAUAUUAUGAGGAAAACAUAUUUAUUAAGUCACUCAAUCAAAAGUUUAAAACAAAACGAAAAGCUAAGUAUACUUAGAAUACACAAUUAUACUUUUAAGUAUAUGUCAGUAGACAAAUAUAGGCC
rnacentral:lncRNA from 1 species